UCCCCAGUGGUCCAGUGGUUAAGACUCUGCACUUCCAGUGUGGAAGCCACAGGUUCAAUUCCUGGUUGAGGAA
rfam:Ovis aries breed Texel chromosome 6, whole genome shotgun sequence.